CAAAAUCGAAGUGUUUGUUAAGUCCUCACCAUCACGGACAUUGCUCCGUCUGGUUUGUACGGGCAGGUAAAGCAAGGAUGUGAGGUACUGCUCCCUGUACAUUGUCAAACAUGCCGGGUCAGAACUUCUUUACAGCAUAAUGCGAUGAAAUCAUUCCCCUUAGAGGAUCUAAAUCGGAAAACGACGUACAGCAAUACCUGAACUAUAGUUGCAGGAUUAGCACUGUAUUCAAGAUAAUUUUGAAGGCAUUCAGCAAUCUGAAA